GAGCUUCCUCAGAGCUGCUCCUGCUGCACGAGCUCCAGGGAGAGAACAAAGUGGUCAGCCCAGGAUUACACCCUGAUCCAGAGCACGGGGAGAGCAGCAGUGAGGACCUGCAGAGCUGAGAUCCAUCCCCUCGAGAGCCCCACAAAUCAGCAGGACAAGCCAUUGCUGGAUCCUCCAUGAACUCAAAGGAAUUUCGGGGCUGAGGAUGCUGAGAGGGACAGGAGCAAUGUGGGGACAGUGGGACAAACCCUCCUGUCCCCUUUGCAGUGAGGGAUUUCCAGCAGCCAUCAAUCCCAGCCCUUAACUGGGGAGCCCAGCUGUGGGUCCCAAAACAAGGUGAGUCAUCCCUGCCCAUUUAUGGGUGGCACAACAGAGG
rnacentral:lncRNA from 1 species